UACGAAGGGGGCUAGCGUUGCUCGGAAUUACUGGGCGUAAAGGGCGCGUAGGCGGCACUGUUAGUCAGGCGUGAAAGUCCUGGGCUCAACCUGGGAACUGCGCUUGAUACGGCAGAGCUAGAGGAUGGAAGAGGCUCGCGGAAUUCCCAGUGUGGAGGUGAAAUUCGUAGAUAUUGGGAAGAACACCGGUGGCGAAGGCGGCGAGCUGGUCCAUUACUGACGCUGAGGCGCGACAGCGUGGGGAGCAAACAGG
rnacentral:rRNA from 1 species